GGAGGUCUGGUGGGAACCUGAUUAUGGUUUGAACUGACUCAGGGAUGUAGGAAUGGUCUGAAGGAGCCCAGAGAAGAGUAAGGCCACUGAGCAGCGGGUAGGGAUUAGCAGAAAUGGAAUGGCAAAGAACAAUUUGUAUGCAAUUCUUGUCUCUUUGUGGCCAAAAUGAUUCUCCAGAGGCACCCCAGUGUGAACACAGGGGUAAACUUGAGGAUAAGCUGAAAAAGGUGAACAAAAGAGGGUGGGUGGACUCUGUGACAACAGGAGUGUCCUCAGUGUGUGAAGUGUGUGGUCAGCCUGAAGCCUGGCAGGAGAAGCUAGGCAUGGAGAGGCAGAGGUAAACAGAGCAUUGAAGGUGUUGAAAAGAGGUACCUGUGCAUGAGGACCUUGUGGGAUGAAGAGGAAGAGUGAUGCGGAUGAAUCAACAGAAUAGCCUACAAGAGCUGACAGGUUUGGGCAGGAGAAGAGCUCAGUGAUAAGAAGGAACAACGACAGCCAACCACCUCUUGGCAAUCAAGCAAAGAAGCAGUGACAUCCAUUCUCCUUUCCUGGGGGAGAAGUAAGACUGAAUGUCAGCAACUACUUGUAUGAACGCAGUGCUUUGUGAGAAAGAAGCAGGACUUCAAAGUGGUGAGACACCAAAGGUGGCUGCUGCUGUGACAGGGAAGCCAGUGCUUGAAAAUCCUGCUGCCGCAGGAGAGAAAAAUCCUGUUUGCUUCAGAAUUGCUCCGCUGCACUGGUCUAGCUCUUCUCCCUUGGAAGCAUUUUGAUUUUAUUGACAGCACAGUGGGACCUAGUGUUAGAAUCACUCAGUCUACCUCCACAGCCAGCAUUUUUGUAAUAGUAACUGGUCUUUUUGUAAAAGAGGGACUGUAGGCAGCUGGCCACAGUCUGGAUGUCUCCCCACGAGUCUGCGAGAGAGGAUGAUGAGAUGAAGAGUGCAGCUUUUGAAACCUCCCUGAACAUGAAGAGCUGUAGGAUCCAUU